GUUACACUUUCUUAUCUUUCCACUUUUCUGGAGUAUUAUUGAAACAGAUACACACGUAUACCCACAUAUAGAGGAAUCUUCUGAAGACAAAGAUCACUUUCCAGAAAAAAUUCCAGUUUCAACCCACAGAAAGGGACAGAGACCCUUUUUUAACUGCACCACCAUGCUGUUAAGCAGUACCUGUCGACUUACCGGUAGAACAGAAAUGCCACAGAAACGCCUGCCCCUUUGGCUCCUUGCCACCUCCCAGGGCCCAGGACCUUCCCAACACAGGCGUUUGUGAAAUUUUCUGGAUUGCUGCUGGGAUCUUUUCAUGCUUGAUAUGGAUUUAUUCUUUUGCAUGUAUUUACUGUUAUUUCAGUAAGAUUUGGGAAGAAGGAGAGGUAAAGUAGGCCCAAGGUACCCUUUUGACCUUCAGCAUUUAUUUUGAAAAUUUUGAAAUGAACAAAUAUUUCUUCAGUGAAUAACCAGGAGACCUUCUGGUUCAGAUAAAAGAAUACUUUCACCGGGACUACCUUGACAAGUUCAUGUGUCCAUGAGAUGAGAAUAGAGAAAAAAGUACAGGAACAAGUUCCAGCGAUGAGAAGAAGAAUGACCGAAGCAUUCCAUAAUUUAUCUUAAGGCAGCAAUAAUUUGUGUGUUUGGAGACACGCUUUGCAGGGAAAAGAAUCAAGACUCGCUGAGGACUGUGGUGGCCCCCUAAACCUGGAAAACUCCUAUUCAUCCUUCAGGACCCAGCCAGUGCCUCCUUCUUACGCAGGCCUCAGAAGAGGAGGUCGCUUCUGUUGCAUUUCCCCAGCCUCCGGUCUGGAAGGAGAAACACAAUUCAGCAAAGCUCCCUUCUCCGGCUCCGGCCCCACCUGUCACUAGGGGAGCCUCAGCCAUCCGACCUUCCACCGCUUCCUUCUGUAGUUUUCCUGAAAGUCUCCAGAAGGUGUCAUCUGUGUGCUCUCCUGUGGGCAGCUGUUUAUCUCCCGCAUGGCAUUUGUCAGUGCCCUUCUCCGCGGAGGGGGAGCAGGCUGCGGGGUCCCCCCACCCCCAGCUGGGGGGAGGGUGCCAGUGGUGUAACUGAGGCCACAGCACAGCGCCGCCUCCCGCUGCUGCGUGCUGAAAGCCGUGCUUGCUUUCCCGCAAUCACGUGGUCUGGCUCCCAGAUCCGUGCUGCAGAACAACUCCGAAAUGGGGACAGUGAGAGUCUAAGAAUACAGGCGGGCUAUGAAUAGCUCCCGCUCACCACGCCUUUCCUGUGCACGAGGAAGGGCGCUAUAAACCCUUCUGUGGAAUCCACGUUGUAAUCCCCGCGCUGAACCCUGGAUUGUUGCUAGUGAGGACCGCAACCCCCAGAGGCUCAGGGAGAUUCAGUAGCUUGCUUCGGUGUUCACAGCUGGUAACGGGCGGCUAGGAGUUUAAACCCAGGUCAGCUUGGCUCCAGAGUCCAGAACCUUCAUGUCCCUGCCUUGGUAUGCACACCAGCUCCCAUGAGACAGAGUGAUGCCCUCCUCAAUGCUUCCCAGUUCCCUUGGCAGUCCAUCGGCUGGAAGGCUCUAUCUUACCCCACAGCAGUGCCUGGCUCUUAGCACAAGUUCAACAACGAUUAAAUGAGUGAAGAAACAAAUAACUAGAGUCUUAGUCUCACCUGACACUCCCACCCCCAACUGAUGGGCCUGGGGAAGGUCUCCAUAUCUAUCCUGCCUCAACUUUCACCAAUCAGGGCAAUAAUAUUGCUUGGAUGGGGUUCUUAUAAAGCAGGCUGAGACGCCAACGCCUAGGAAACAGAGCUCCAGUCUCAAAGGGGUCAAUGGCAACAACGUACCAGCCUCACUGGGUUUGGCCCCCCACCUGCUCACACAGGCCUCAGUCCUCUGCAGAGCCCUGCCCAGUCCUUUUGGGAAUCCUGGGAGAAUAUGUCACGUGUGCCAGCAGUGGUCACCAUGCGGUAUCUUCCGCUUCCCUCCUUUCCCUCUCAAGGCCCUCGCGAUGAUGUCCUCUCUGGGCAUGGCCCCCUAGGCCACCUCACCCUGCACCCGCAUCCACCACAGGACUAUUGUCCACCAUGUUCAGGGCCAUCUCCUCUGAGAGUGGCCAGCCCUCACAGUGCCAGAGCCACUCUGUGUCCUGCUUAGACGUGAAAGGGCUGCUACCCUGCUCCAUGUC